AGCGAGCCCUGAGAUGAGUCUUCCCUGAUACUUUAAGUAUCCUAAAGGGUUGUCGGAGACUACGACGUUGAUAGGUCAGGUGUGUAAGUGCUGUGAGGCAUUGAGCUAACUGAUACUAAUUGCCCGUGAGGCUUAACCAUACAACACCCAAGGGGUUU
rnacentral:rRNA from 1 species